AGUCGCAGGUUCGCAUGGUCUCAGUGGCAGUUGCCAGUUCUCAUGGUCUUAGCGGCAGAGUUACUGGUUCGCAUGGUCUCAGAGGUAGUUACUGGUUUUUGCCAGGGCUGAUGGAUGGCGAUGCGACGACGGACUCACUACACAGCGGAUCUGGAGUCGGUGGAACCUCACACAGUGAUUAUAAUGAAUGCGUAUUGGCUCCGCCGAUUGAUCUGCAGCCAUUAUGCAUGCAGUGGAAUUUAGGGGUAACAGGGUGUAGUCUGGUACUCCCCAUCAGGUUAUAAUUUUGUUGGUGAGUGACUUGGACACCCUCUCUUCUGUAAAGCUCAACCAAAUGGGUGUAAUAGUCCAUAAAGACAACAGAGUACACAUUGAACUCUAUGGGAAAGAGCCAAUGAAAUCCCAGGGUCUUUCUGAAGCUGCAAUUUCCCUGCUUUUGUUAAUUUGUAUUAUUAGCAGAGCUGAGCCCAAUCAACACCUAUAUACCAAAGCACUGUUUCAUAGGUCUUGUAUUUUUCGAAGAUAUCCUGAUAUUGAAUUCUCAUUAAACAUUCCAGGAAGGAGUUCUCAGAGACGUCCUGGUAUGUAGACUUGCUAGAUGGUUUCAUCUGAAGGAGUUCCAAGAUGGCACAGCCGAUGGCAGCUUCAAAACAUGGAUCACCUCGUUCCACGACGCUGGACUGCACUAUGAGAGGCCUUUGUGGGAUCACUAUGAACACCCUAAGGCGAAAAGCUGGGACAGAUCUUUCCGGCAGUAUAGCGGGACAUUUGCUGGACGGCACUAUGAAAGAGACUUCUUUGCCUUCCGAUAUCUCUUUGAAUGGACUGACCCCAUAGUACAUCAAGGACCUCAUCCAAAUCUAUACUCUAGCGCUCAAAUUAAGGUCUGAGGGCCAGCUCCAGCCCGUGGUGCCUAGAGUGAGACUUAAAACCAGGGGGGACAGGGCUUUCUCUGUGGUGGACCCCAGACUUUGGAAUGCCCUCCUCCUCCAUGUCCCAACAGCCCCCACGGUGGAGUGCUUUAAGUUUUGUGGUCCUCUGUGUCUUUUAUUUAUUUUACUACUUCAAACUACGUCUUUUAUUUAUUUUACUAUCGGUUUGAUUUUAUUGUUUUAUUUAUAGCAUCAUUUUAGAGUAAUACACCUAUUAUUUAUUGCCGAUUGUUAUAUGGAAAUGUUUGUU